GCAGGGUUAGGCCCGCUUUGGCAGGGCCUUUCCCCUUCCUGGGCCUGUGCGGUGGAAGCGACAUGGACGAGGCUGGACUGAGGCACUGACUGGCACUGCCCGGAGUAAAGGCAAGGGGAGGGGAUGAUCCUACCCCCGGAUCUGGCUCAAGAGAGCCAAGCAGUGCCCCCCACCCCACUCAUCUCCACAGGCCCCGAGGGAGAAGGGAGUCUCACCCACCUUUCUUGGAGCGGCGGGGCUUGGGGGGAGGCCCAGCUGUGCGGGCUGUAGAGGACACAGAGGGACCAUUCCCUGAUCCAG